CCCUCCUCUGCUCUCUCUCUCUCUCUCUCUCAAAAAUAAAUAAACAUUAAAAAAACUAAAAAAAAAGAUACUUACCCCACGUCUUCCAGAUCUGGUUUGAAAAGAUUAAUUAUUAAAUCUUUUUCUCUUAAGUAAAACUAUGCAUUUGCCUUUAGUUAAUGUGGUAGGCAAGAAUGGCCUCUCAAAGAAGUUCAAUGUCCUAACCCCCGGAACCUACAGAUCUGUUAACUUUACAUGGCAAAAGGGAAGUAAGAAGGUAGAUGGAAUUAAGAUUGUCGCCCAGCUGAGCUUAAAAUAGAGCGCUGAUCCUAGAUUAUCCGGGUGGGCCCAGUGUAAUCGCAAGGGUCCUUCUACGUGGGAGAUGGAGGGAGGAGAGUCUGCGUCAGAGCCAUGUGACAUGAGAAAGACUCAGCUGGUCGUCACCAGCUUUGAAGAUGGAUGGGGCCAUGAGCCAAGAAACGUAAACAGCUCCAGGAGCUGGGAACGGCAAGAAAGCAAACCUCCCCUAGAUUCUCCAGAAAGGUGUGCAGUGCCGUCGACACCUUGAUUUUAGCCCAGUGAGAGCUGCGUCAGGCUUCUGACCUCCAGAACCGUCAGAUAAACGUCUGUGUUGGUUUAAGGCACUACGCUGGGAGCAGUCAGUUACCGAAGCAAACGGACAAGUAAGUCUGCUCACUCAUAUGGACUGGUACUUUAACGACAACUGGAUUUGGGGGAAAGGAAGGAAAGAAAUGGACUGGGACAGCACAUCUGCCAUGUGCCGGCAUCAUGGGAGACCCUGAAGUACGUGCCACACUCGGUCUCCCCCACCCUCCAGUGAGGUAGGUAUUAACAGCGCCAUUGUUGACGGCUCUGAAUCUCCAAGAGGUUAAGGCACUUGUCUGAGGCUCCCCCUGCUACAGUGGCAAAGCCUGGGUGUGAAGAAGUCUGCUUGCCUCCAAAUCGGUUUCUAUUCGACGGCAUGGCCUUCCUCCACUCAAGCUUAAUGAUGCAAAAAGCCCACAGGGCUUGCUCUGUCCCACUGAGCACCAGGAGAGCCCCAGAAUGGUGGCUCUCCACCUGCCCUGCCGGGCACCCUCCUCCCUUCUCUCCCAUAUGCCAGCAGGGUUGGGGAGCAGGCCAGAGGUGCAAGAGAGCUCCUCCCCACAGCUCUGGCCCUUCUAUGGCCCCAGCCUCUGCACCGUCCAUUGGAGGGGCCACAAACAAAGUAGUACAUUGCCCCUUGGUCUGUGGUGGAGGAAGGAAAUAAAUCAGGUGGGGAGUCUGACCCAGGAACUGCACUGAUGACAGCUAACCAAUGUGCUCUCAUACCCCGUACGUAUCUGCAGACUAGGAGUGGGCCCUUGUAGGAGGAGGGAUCUUUUCCCACUGUGAAUGGUGAGGUGUAUGGAAGAGACCUCUUCUCCCAGGUGGGAGGAAAUGGGGUGGGAGUCACCCCUCCGGGCUUCUCACACUGAUUGCCACACAGCCCCAGGCUUGCAUAUUCUGUGCGCUGAAAUGGCACUCGUGGCUCUCACAGCGUUCUGGGUAUUCCGCGAACACACCUGGGCUUAGUUCAAAACAGGAGUCUGCUUUGGGAGCUGUCCAGAUGUGGGUAGCUAAUGAUGUGAUGGGGGGGGGGCGGGCCUUUUCCUAAUCAAAGGAUAGAAUCCUGUUAAUUAAGAGUAAUGCUUUGUGCUUAAAAGGCGCAAGUUCAGACCCACCCGUUAGUCUCUUCGGUUAAGAUCACUUUUAAAUCAAAGUAGCCACACUGAGGUUGUAGGAAGCAUCUAUUAUUAACAGGCAGAGAGAAAUGGGCUCCUAAGUGAGAGGCUCGCCAAUCACCACACCGUGGAGGGAGGCUUGGGGGCUGAUUGAGGCAUGUCAGCUGUGUACUGAAGUUUAUAGCAGCUUUCUGUGCACACAUGCAUUACUGAUGCUGUGCUUAGAGGCUGUGUGUAUGUGUGUGUGGUGGGGUACCAUGCCCAUGCCUGUGCACACAUGCCCUCCAUUACGGAAGGCGGCCCGAGGAUACCUUAUGGACAGCAGAACAGGCCAGGCAGGGAGAGGAUGAUAUAAACAGGACAGAGCAACCCCGGUGGCCUGGCCUUGGCUGAGCAGCUGGGGGGACUGCAGGGACUAGGUCAGCAAGCAGAUUAUGGGGAAGGCACGUACCAGCCCCCACCAGAGACCCAGAAAAAGGAGCAGAUGUGGUUCCUGCCCUUUGGUGUAUUCAGUCUGGCCAAGGAGAAACAUAUACAAAUACUGAACGACACAGGGAUAGUUUCAGAGCAAAGCGACCCCCAUGGGCAACUCCAUUCUCGGAAUGCUGCCUACCACGUGCAGAGGCUCCAGGCUGGACAAAGGGAUGGACGGUGUGCUCCCUGCUCUCUCAGAUGUGGUUUGGGAGGGAAGACAAAAAGAUAACCACAGUCUCAGACCAGAAGAGAGAAGGCAGAUUGGCUUGUCCCCCAAGAGUCUGAUUCUGUGAGCUAAGUAUGGCGAACUUGGGCUAAGACUUGAAAGGAGAGCAGGCCCAGAGCAACAAACCCCUUCUUCUUGGCUGGAGAGGGUGGUGACAGGGUCAUUAUCAGGCAAAGGGAUCAUCUCCAGGCAAAGGGGCACCUCUGGUCAAGAGGGUGAUGGUUGAGAGGCAAGACGUUUUGGAGAAGCCCAGAUCAGAGAGACUUAAGGCCAGGCGCCAGCUAAAGGCCCCGAGCCAACGUCCAGGAGAACAGUUCCCUGUGCAGCCAGAGCAGCCAACAAGCUCUCUCUGUGACGGUCCUGUUUGCUGGAAAUUAGCAAGGAAUGAAGAGCGUUCUUCCUGCAGGUUUGGUUCCGGGGCUGGUAGUGGAGCUGCUCAUUCUUGCAGAGUGCAAAUUCCUGCAAUGCCUGAGUUCCGGGGGGUAAGUAAACUGGCCCUGGCCGUGUGCCCACCUCUGACCGCCUUUCAAGGGCGAUCCUUGAACCAGAAGCAGUGGCAGGUUACAUAAUUAAGCUUGAAGAGGUCCUGGACAGAGCUUCCUCAUUAGAAAAGGUUGCAGCAGCAUAAAACCUUGCGAGGGGAAGGAGGGCUUGGGGAGGGAAGAAGAGGGGAACAGAUGGGGUGGGGACUGAGGGAGGAGGCAGCAUCACAGCACCCAGGAGGGGAUGCCUGGCGUCUCCUGAGGCAAUGGAAAGGCCUCUUUGGAGGGAUAAUUCUCAGUACACCAUUAGCUGUCAGAGUCAGCAGACCGACCACAGUCAAUUUUCAAAUGCCAGUGACAGGCUCCUGGAUACAGCAGCCCUCUCCAGAGACGUCUGCCCUAGAAGGCUGUAACUGCAGGCAGUUCCUUCCGCAGUCACUGUCCAGCCAGAGGACAAAAAUGUGCAUGCUUAUCUGAACAGAAGUGUUCCCUUUGCUUUUCCCAAUUAUUAACCUGUGGUUGUUAAACAGCUUGAAGGAUCAGAGGUCCUUCUAGGAGGAGAGAAACUCAAAAAGGCGUUCCGCUCAGAGUCCACCUUCUGUCUGGUAAGAAGGUUAUUUGACUCUGCAGAUGAGGCAACAGAGAAGCUACGCAAGUUGCCCAAAGACACCCAGCUAGUCGACAGCAAAGGAAGACAAGAAAUCAGCCUCCUAGAGCAGAUGGAGGCACAUGGUGCCAGAAAGCAGGUUUCCAUUCUCCAGAGAACUGAUGACUUUACAACAGCGUGGUCACAUGCUCAAGUCCCUGCCUGCUCAUAGGCUGACCAGUUUCUAGCCAAUGGCGGUCAGCCAGCAAAAGUCUAGUGACCGAAGCACCAGCAGGGGGCACACUCUCAACUGUAUGGCUGAUGGUAUCGUUUGGGCAACUGUCCAAGAAAAGUGUUCUUUUAAAUUAAUUUAAAACCCACAGUAUAAACUACUCUCGGAAAAGAAGAAUAAAUUCAUGCAUAAUUUAGGUCCAACACACUCCUUUUAAAUAUUCUAAUGACCACUAAUGAUUGUAUUUUAAGGAAACAAACCAAUAAUGCAAAGUGUAAACAACAAAUGGAAGCCUUUUUCUGAAUUCAGUCAAUUGAUUGUGAAUGGCUGGAGAGAUCAUUCCUCCUAAGAAAAACCCGCAGGAAUGUAGUUCAAACCCAUUGCUCACUUCAAUCUUCUCAAACCUAACCUGUUCUGGUUUAUCUAUUCGUUUUUUUUUGUUUUUUUUUUUUAAGGCAGUAAAUAUAACAGAGCAAAAGUUCCACGAGAAGACAUUUUAAGGUGCAGAUACACUUGAGAGCACUGGGAGAGGGAACUCUCAAGCCAGAGUGGCUUCUUCCUGUCCAGGAAGAAGGUCAAGGGACCUGGGAUCUGGCAAGUGGCCUUAUCUUCCCCGAACAAACAAGGCUUUGCCUCAGUUUCCUCAGUCCUAGGAGGACUGUCCGCAAAGUUCUAUAAUCUCCCUUUGGCUCCACCAGGACAAGGGGCUGGAGUACAAUGUGGGGACCAAGGGUGAGGUGGAGAAAGUGGCUGCCACAUGGCAAGGUAAUAAAGGGGUGGACUGUCUGUAGAGAAUCCAAAAUCAAUAAUAAAACCGACUAACAGCCAGCCUGGUUUUAUGAGCGUCGUGUGCCUACAAUCCUAAACAGUAUUUGUGCUAAAAUACUCCUCCUCAAAAAUGUGUUCUUGGUCUCUAAGUUAUAAACAAUCGGUGUCAUUGCCGGUGAGUGUUAAUAACACGUAUGUAAGGUUUACAUUAGCACUUUAAAAAACGUACCCUUUAGGAAACCUGGUUUUCUCCAUAGAAGUCACUUGGAGAACUCCCAGGUACAUAAUUGGCCCCAACAUAUGUGGAGUUGGCUCCACACGGUUGUUGCAAGAGAAAGUUCUUAACAGUUCAGAAUUGUGAGCUUGCUUCGGGCACCAUUUGUGGCUUCAGUCUUAGUGAGACAGCACGUUCCUGCAUUUAGGAAGUAGGUUGUAAGCGUGAACCAAGGUAGUUCGGCCACCUAGGAGCUGACUUACUUUAAUGCUGUCCUUUCAUGGGGCCACAUGGAGAUUUUUAUUUGUGUUUAAAAUUUAAAAGAGCAACACUGAGUGUGAACUGCCAAGUGUAAUUUUGGGCUUGGUAAGUACAACUUUUACUCACACGUGAUAUAUUUUACUGAGUCUGAAUAAUAUAUUUCAAAUGGAAACGACUUCUUUUUUAAUUGUUGAGUUAUCGUGUUUAAAACUAAAAAAAUUAAGCAGUAAAGCAGUACCUCCGUGGUAUGAUUUAGUGGUUGCUAAAUUACAGGCAACUUCUGUAGAUGUCUCACUUUCAUGAAAAUUCACUUAUUAGUAACUGAACAGUGAUUUACAUAAAUUAUCAUUAUAUCAGGCUGCAACCAACAAUCAAACCUCCGUAGAUAUAAUAACAGUUUAAUAAGUACUUGUGCUUUUUGUCCUAUUUGGUACCAUAAUAUUUACUUUUCUUUUUUGUAAUUGUGGCAUAAUUAUAUGUAUGGAGUUCUGUCAGAGAAACAUUUUCUUCCUUCUGUUUCUUUUCUGGCCAUUAUUACUAUCAUUUCAUUUCAUGGUUAUUUCUGAAGAUCAUUCUGUGAUAUAAAGGAGGGGAAAGUGAAGUGACAAGGUGCCUAGCAGCUCAUACCACCAUUCUGCAAAGUGGCUUGUGAUGGGGACAGGAGGCAGGUGUCCCGAAAAGAGGAAGAGUCUGAUCUUGGAAAUUAAAAAAAAUUGACCAGAGGGAAAUGGAAAGAACACAGGCUUUGAAGAUGAAAGACCUGGGUUCAAAUUCUGAUUCUGCAAUUUACUGGCUGUGUGAUCUUGGGCAAGUGACUUAACCAUUCUGAGCCUCAGUUUCCUCAUUUGUAAUGUGACACUGUAACCCCACCUUUAAAGGCUGUGCUGAGAUGAA